rnacentral:rRNA from 1 species
UACGGAGGGUGCAAGCGUUGUCCGGAUUUAUUGGGUUUAAAGGGUGCGUAGGCGGCUUCUUAAGUCUGGGGUGAAAGCCUGUUGCUCAACAACGGAACUGCCUUGAAGACUGGGGAGCUUGAGUACAGACGAGGGCGGCGGAAUGGAUGCUGUAGCGGUGAAAUGCAUAGAUAGCAUGCAGAACCCCGAUUGCGAAGGCAGCUGCCUAGGCUGUAACUGACGCUGAGGCACGAAAGCGUGGGGAGCGAACAGG